rnacentral:rRNA from 1 species
AACGAACGCUGGCGGCGCGCCUAACACAUGCAAGUCGAACGGGGUUAUAGCAUGAAGCUGGCUUCGGCCGGUGGAUUACUAUAACUUAGUGGCGAACGGGUGAGUAACACGUGGGUAACCUGCCCUUAGGUUUGGGAUACCCCCGAGAAAUCGGGUUUAAUACCGGAUGUUAUUCCAGGGUGAAAUUCCCCGGAAUCAAAGCUGCGAGCAAUCGUGGCGCCUUAGGAUGGACCCGCGGCCUAUCAGCUAGUUGGUGAGGUAAUGGCUCACCAAGGCUAAGACGGGUAGCCGAACUGAGAGGUUGAUCGGCCACACUGGAACUGAGACACGGUCCAGACUCCUACGGGAGGCAGCAGUGAGGAAUUUUGCGCAAUGGGCGAAAGCCUGACGCAGCGACGCCGCGUGGGGGAAGAAGGUCUUCGGGUUGUAAACCCCUUUCAUGAGGGAAAAAGCCCCGAGCAAUCGGGGUGAUGGUACCUCAAGAAGAAGCCACGGCUAAC